ensembl:lncRNA
GCUCGAUUAUAAAUCAGGAAUGGUCGAGACCAUUGGCGUCGGACGGCUGAGCUUCGUCAACUGUCAAACAGGAAGGUAAAGUUAGGUGGCCGGGAGACUCUCGCUGACAUCCAGUGGGAGCUCAAUACCCAAGGCAUAGAACGGGUAAGCCUCGCUGACCGUAGCAUAGAGAAAGUAAAGUUAUGUGGCUGGGAGACUCUCACUGACGUCCAACGGGAGCUCAAUACUUGCAGCAUUGAACGGGUAAGCCUCUCCGAACACAAGACAGAAAGGUAAAGUUGUGAUGCCAGGAGGCUCUCGCCGACAUCUGACAGGAGUUCAAUACUCAUCGGACGGGUAAGCCUCGCUGACCGUAGAUAGGAAAAGGUAAGGUUGUGUUGCCGGGAAGCUCACACUGGCAUCCAAUGGGAGCUCAAUAUUUACGGCAUCGGAUGGGUAAGCCUCGCUGACCAUAUGAUGGAAAAGGUAAAGUUGUCUGGCCGGCUGGCUCUUGCCGACGUCCGAUGGGAGCUCAAUACUCGCAGCAUCGAACGGGUAAGCCCCGCCGACCAUAAAAAGGAAAAGGUAAAGUUGUCUGGCCGGCUGGCUCUUGCCGACGUCCGAUGGGAGCUCAAUACUCGCAGCAUCGAACGGGUAAGCCCCGCCGACCAUAAAAAGGAAAAGGUAAAGUUGUCUAGCUGGGAGGCUCUCGCCGACGUCCGAUGGGAGCUCAGUACUCAUGACAUAAAAUGGGUAAGCCUCUCCGAACAUAAGAUGGAAAGGUAAAGUUAUAUGGCCAGGAGGCUCUUGCCUGCAUCCGAUAGGAGCUCAGUACUUGCGGUAUUGGACGGGUAAGCCUCGUUGACCGUAGAAUUAUUAUUAUUUUUUUUUUUAACGGGAGUGAUUACUUUAAUGUAGUUUUGAUAAGCUUCUGAAGACCAUCUUCCUAGAGUUUGGAUCUGCUGCUUGGAGAGGCCUCUUUUGGGCUGCUGAUGUUGCUGCCCCGAUGUGAAAGGAAUGGCUGGAGAAAUUCUUUGCUGGGAUGCCCGACAAUUGCAGGAUGGAUCUGAAAUGUUUUUGGAACCAGAAGCGAGUGAUAGGUUUUUUUUUGAGUCAUCUAAAAAUAAAUAGUGGUUCAUGGGGGUAUUUAGCCUGAGA